rnacentral:rRNA from 1 species
UACAGAGGUCUCGAGCGUUGUUCGGAUUCAUUGGGCGUAAAGGGUGCGUAGGUGGCGCUGUAAGUCGGGUGUGAAAUCCUGAGGCUUAACCUCGGAACUGCAUUCGAUACUGCGGCGCUUGAGGACUGGAGAGGAGACUGGAAUUCAUGGUGUAGCAGUGAAAUGCGUAGAGAUCAUGAGGAAGACCAGUGGCGAAGGCGGGUCUCUGGACAGGAACUGACGCUGAGACGCGAAAGCGUGGGGAGCGAUCCGG